CCCUUAGAUGUUCUGGGCCGCACGCGCGCUACACUGAAUGGAUCAACGUGUUUUCCCUUCCCGAGAGGGACGGGUAACCCGCUGAACCCCAUUCGUGGUAGGGAUCGGAGCUUGCAAUUGUUCUCCGUGAACCAGGAAUUCCUAGUAAACGCAAGUCAUCAGCUUGCAUUGAUUACGUCCCUGCCCUUUGUACACACCGCCCGUCGCACCUACCGAUUGAAUGGUCCGGUGAAAUCUCGGGACGGCGGCUUGGUCGCUUGCGUCCGACUGCUGAAACUUGAUUAAACCAUAUCAUUUAGAGGAAGGUGAAGUCGUAACA
rnacentral:rRNA from 1 species